UUACGGCCACAUCACGCUGAAGUAGCGGUUCCCAUACGAUUACCGAAGUUAAGCAAUGUUGAUCAUGGUCAGUACCUGUGGGUGACCGUUGCGGAAUACCAAGUGCUGUAA